rnacentral:rRNA from 1 species
CCUACGGGAGGCAGCAGUGAGGAAUAUUGGUCAAUGGACGGGAGCCUGAACCAGCCAAGUCGCGUGAGGGAUGAAUGCCCUGAGGGUUGUAAACCUCUUUUAUAUGGGGAUAAAGCGUUCCACGGGUGGGCUUUAGUGGGUACCAUAUGAAUAAGGAUCGGCUAACUCCGUGCCAGCAGCCGCGGUAAUACGGAGGAUUCGAGCGUUAUCCGGAUUUAUUGGGUUUAAAGGGUGCGUAGGCGGAUUGUUAAGUCAGUUGUGAAAGUUUGCGGCUCAACCGUGACACUGCAGUUGAAACUGGCGUGCUCGAGUACGGUAGAAGUAGGCGGAAUUCGUGGUGUAGCGGUGAAAUGCAUAGAUAUCACGAAGAACCCCGAUUGCGAAGGCAGUACACUGGACUGCAACUGACGCUGAGGCACGAAAGUGUGGGUAUCGAACAGGAUUAGAUACCCGAGUAGUC